AGUGAACGCUGGCGGUAGGCCUAACACAUGCAAGUCGAACGGCAGCACAGUAAGAGCUUGCUCUUACGGGUGGCGAGUGGCGGACGGGUGAGGAAUACAUCGGAAUCUACUUUUUCGUGGGGGAUAACGUAGGGAAACUUACGCUAAUACCGCAUACGACCUACGGGUGAAAGCAGGGGAUCUUCGGACCUUGCGCGAUUGAAUGAGCCGAUGUCGGAUUAGCUAGUUGGCGGGGUAAAGGCCCACCAAGGCGACGAUCCGUAGCUGGUCUGAGAGGAUGAGCGGCGAGAGGGGAAGGGAGAAGGGGGAAAGAGUCAAGAGGGAGGCGGCGGUAGGGAAUGUGGAGAAAGGGGGGGAAGGUUGAAGCAGCAAAGCCGGGGGAGGGAGGAAGGGCGGGGGGUUGUAAAACCUUUUUAUGGGGAAAGAAAAGAAGCGGGAGAAACCACGCCUGUCCUGACGGUACCGAAAAAGUAAGCACCGGCUAACUCCGUG
rnacentral:rRNA from 1 species